UUUCAUAGGAGUUAAAUAUCGAGCACUGUCUGAACUUUCUCCAAUCUCUGAAUGAUGUACACCAUUCACAUCAGUACCCAUCUCAAUUACAUCUCCAGAUGUUAAGCCUAGGGAUGUCAGUGGGGCGGGUCUAGUAGGAGACCCGCCCCAUCCCCGCCCCGAUGGGGCAGGGAUGGGUCUAGCUUUGGCGGGUCGCGGGGCGGGGAUGGGUCUAAAAUCCAUACCCGCCAUGGGUGAUGGGGCGGGGGUGGAUUUAAAGUAAUACCCGCCCCAUCCCCGCCCGGCCUGACCCACCCCAUACCCGCCCCGCCUGACCAACCCCACACCUGACCCAUACCCGCAUUAUACCCGACCCGUCCCAUAUAAUGCAAUAACAUAUUUCGUUAAAUAUUAUACAGCAAAAAAUAAUGUUACUGACUUGAUUAAGGAAGUCUCUAGACACUAGACUUCUAGAAGAAAAAAAAAAAAAAAACCAUAUUCAUUUUCAUUCUCAACCCUAGCCGACACUAUCACUCAUUCACUCUCCUCUCCUCUCCUCUCAAGCUCUAUCAAUCAUACAAUCACCACCUCUGAAUCUCGCCGCUGAGUUGUGCGCUGAUCAACACUCCGAUCUACAUAAUCCCUACCUCUUCCUAUAUAAUCGAUUGUAGAGAAUACAAGGAUGAUGAAUAUGCUAAAUUGGUGGGAGAAUUAGUGGAAGAAUUUGAAACAUGAGAUAUCGAUUCCAGUACAAGUGAAGUUUGCACUACACAGAAUAAUUGAAGGCUUAGAGUUAUUAUUAUGUAUUUUUAAUAUUUGGACUUUAGACAAUUUAGAGUUACAUUUAUUUGUUUAGAGUGUAUUAUAUUAGUUACUGUGUUUUUUUUU